rnacentral:rRNA from 1 species
UGGGGAAUAUUGCACAAUGGGCGCAAGCCUGAUGCAGCAACGCCGCGUGAGGGACGACGGCCUUCGGGUUGUAAACCUCUUUUGGCAGGGAAGAAGCGAAAGUGACGGUACCUGCGGAAAAAGCACCGGCUAACUACGUGCCAGCAGCCGCGGUGAUACGUAGGGUGUAAGCGUUGUCCGGAUUUACUGGGUGUAAAGGGCGCGCAGGCGGGAUAAAAAGUCAGUGGUGAAAUCCUACAGCUUAACUGUAGAACUGCCUUUGAUACUUUUAUUCUUGAGUUCGGGAGAGAGUGACGGAAUUCCGGGUGUAGUGGUGAAAUACGUAGAUAUCUGGAAGAACACCAGUUGCGAAGGCGGUCUCUUGGUCCGACACUGACGCUGAGGCGCGAAAGCGUGGG